UUUAAAGUCUCAGACAGCUUGUGCUUGGUUUAAACUCGGGAACGUCUGCGUGCAGAGCAAAGUUGGAGGGCUACGUCUGCACCACCGAGCCGCUAGAUCUCUGAACACAGUCUUGCCCAAGGAUAACACAAAUCUGUACCUCUGGCUGGGUGUAAUGCAAGGAAGGGACAAAGAUGAAAUGGAAACAUCUUCCUUUUUUGGUCAUAAUAUCACUCCUCAGCAUGUCAAGCCAUCAACUGUUCCUGGCCCAGCUUAUUCCAGGUAAGUAG
rnacentral:lncRNA from 1 species